rnacentral:ncRNA from 16 species
GCGCCCCAUACGGAACAGGCCGUAAAGGAGCCGGGCCGCUGCGGCGGCAGCAGAUGGUGAGGCAUCUGUGGGACAAAA